AUCGAUAAAGGUAACUUCGACAUCGUCUUUUGUUGCAACAAUAGGUCAUCUUAGCAAAGUUUAAAAAUGUAAAAUAUAUUGCAUGUUCAAGGAGAGCAAAACACCCUGACAAAUAAAUAUCUUAUCAAAAAUUGGCUAGCACCCGAUCCUUUUAGGUAAACAAUUCAUUCAUCUCUAAAAACAAAACAUCAUAAAAAACAAAUACUUUGGAUGAUAGUAAUAAGCAACAAU
rnacentral:lncRNA from 1 species